GUCUUGCAGCAUGAAUUGGAAAUACACAAUUUCUCAAAUAUAUGGACGAACUCUUUAUUGUUAUUUCAACAUUUUAAAACCAAGAGCUUAUGAUAGUUAUUGCCUUAUAUCUGUAUCAGUUGUCAAACCAAGACGUCAGAAGCUAGGAUCGUUGCGAGGUUGAAUGUGUUCCUUGCAGUAAGGUUGCGUCGAUUGUCCGACCAGGAGCGGCCGACAGUGAUGUUCCGACCCAAGAGCUCCGUAACAGGGGCUGCCGUCUGCGAUGCCGUAAGAAACAGAACUCCGUAAGGAACAGGUAGGUCUCCUUGGCUAAGUUGCACCCCGAUGAUCAGCAGUGCGCCAAGCAAGAAACCCGAAUCCCAUUACGCUGGCUUACAAAAUCAUUAUCUAUCGAUGCUUUACUACAUAGAAGUACAUGUAAUAUUAGUUAAACUAUAUGACACUAACACGUUUGAACAGAUACGCAAACAAAAUACAGUUAACAAAUUAAAACACAUAAUAUAAUGUUGAAUGAAUGCCCUGUAUUGUUUCCUUCGUUCGACUGUCCGGCGACCAGGAGCGGCCGUCAGCGAUGUUCCUCCAAAGAGUUCCGUUAGGAACAGGUAGGUCUUGUUGGACCCCUCUGGCUCUGCACCCCCGCCGACCAGCAGCGUCAUUUCAAGUGAAGCCAGACGAUGAAAACCUGAAUCCUAGAUAUCGUCUAGAAAAGUAGCUAUGAAUAU